UUGGUUAAGUUAGAAAGGGCGCACGGUGGAUGCCUUGGCACUAGGAGCCGAAGAAGGACGGGACUAACACCGAUAUGCUUUGGGGAGCUGUACGUAAGCGUUGAUCCAGAGAUUUCCGAAUGGGGGAACCCACUAUCUUUAGUCGGAUAGUAUCCUUACGUGAAUACAUAGCGUGAGGAAGGCAGACCCAGGGAACUGAAACAUCUAAGUACCUGGAGGAAGAGAAAGAAAAAUCGAUUUCCUGAGUAGCGGCGAGCGAAACGGAAAGAGCCCAAACCAAGAAGCUUGCUUCUUGGGGUUGUAGGACACUCUAUACGGAGUUACAAAAGAAAGUUAUAAAUGAAGCGGUCUGGAAAGGCCCGCCAAAGACGGUAACAGCCCGGUAGUUGAAAUGGCUUUCCCUCCAGAGUGGAUCCUGAGUACGGCGGAACACGUGAAAUUCCGUCGGAAUCCGGGAGGACCAUCUCCCAAGGCUAAAUACUCCCUAGUGACCGAUAGUGAACCAGUACCGUGAGGGAAAGGUGAAAAGCACCCCGGAAGGGGAGUGAAACAGUUCCUGAAACCGUGUGNNNNNNNNNNAGGUUAAGCGGAAAAAGCGGAGCCGUAGCGAAAGCGAGUCUGAAUAGGGCGCAUAAGUAACAGGUCGUAGACCCGAAACCAGGUGAUCUACCCAUGUCCAGGAUGAAGGUAAGGUAAUACUUACUGGAGGUCCGAACCCACGCACGUUGAAAAGUGCGGGGAUGAGGUGUGGGUAGCGGAGAAAUUCCAAUCGAACUUGGAGAUAGCUGGUUCUCUCCGAAAUAGCUUUAGGGCUAGCCUCGAGGUAAAGAGUCAUGGAGGUAGAGCACUGUUUGGACUAGGGGCCCUUCUCGGGUUACCGAAUUCAGAUAAACUCCGAAUGCCAUGUACUUAUACUCGGGAGUCAGACUGCGAGUGAUAAGAUCCGUAGUCGAAAGGGAAACAGCCCAGACCACCAGUUAAGGUCCCCAAAUAUAUGUUAAGUGGAAAAGGAUGUGGGGUUGCUUAGACAACCAGGAUGUUGGCUUAGAAGCAGCCACCAUUGAAAGAGUGCGUAAUAGCUCACUGGUCGAGUGACCCCGCGCCGAAAAUGUACCGGGGCUAAACAUAUUACCGAAACUGUGGAUGAACCUCUUUAGAGGUUCGUGGUAGGAGAGCGUUCUAAGGGCGGUGAAGUCAGACCGGAAGGACUGGUGGAGCGCUUAGAAGUGAGAAUGCCGGUAUGAGUAGCGAAAGAAGGGUGAGAAUCCCUUCCACCGAAUAUCUAAGGUUUCCUGAGGAAGGCUCGUCCGCUCAGGGUUAGUCGGGACCUAAGCCGAGGCCGAUAGGCGUAGGCGAUGGACAACAGGUAGAGAUUCCUGUACCAGUGCUAAUUGUUUAACCGAUGGGGUGACACAGAAGGAUAGGGAAUCGCACGAAUGGAAAUGUGCGUCCAAGCAGUGAGUGUGAGAAGUAGGCAAAUCCGCUUCUCGCGAAGCAUGAGCUGUGAUGGGGAAGGAAAUUAAGUACGGAAGUUCCUGAUUUCACGCUGUCAAGAAAAGCCUCUAGGAAGAGUAGUACUGCCCGUACCGCAAACCGACACAGGUAGAUGAGGAGAGAAUCCUAAGGUGAGCGAGAGAACUCUCGUUAAGGAACUCGGCAAAAUGACCCCGUAACUUCGGGAGAAGGGGUGCUCUAUUAGGGUGCAAGCCCGAGAGAGCCGCAGUGAAUAGGCCCAGGCGACUGUUUAGCAAAAACACAGGUCUCUGCAAAACCGUAAGGUGACGUAUAGGGGCUGACGCCUGCCCGGUGCUGGAAGGUUAAGAGGAGUGCUUAGCUUCGGCGAAGGUACGAAUUGAAGCCCCAGUAAACGGCGGCCGUAACUAUAACGGUCCUAAGGUAGCGAAAUUCCUUGUCGGGUAAGUUCCGACCCGCACGAAAGGCGCAACGAUCUGGGCACUGUCUCAACGAGAGACUCGGUGAAAUUAUAGUACCUGUGAAGAUGCAGGUUACCCGCGACAGGACGGAAAGACCCCGUGGAGCUUUACUGCAACCUGAUAUGGAAUGUUUGUACCGCUUGUACAGGAUAGGUAGGAGCCGAAGAGACGUGUGCGCUAGCAUACGAGGAGGCAAUGGUGGGAUACUACCCUGGCUGUAUGACCAUUCUAACCCGCCACGCUUAGCGCGUGGGGAGACAGUGUCAGGUGGGCAGUUUGACUGGGGCGGUCGCCUCCUAAAGAGUAACGGAGGCGCCCAAAGGUUCCCUCAGAAUGGAUGGAAAUCAUUCGCAGAGUGUAAAGGCACAAGGGAGCUUGACUGCGAGACUGACAAGUCGAGCAGGGACGAAAGUCGGGCUUAGUGAUCCGGUGGUUCCGCAUGGAAGGGCCAUCGCUCAACGGAUAAAAGCUACCCCGGGGAUAACAGGCUUAUCUCCCCCAAGAGUCCACAUCGACGGGGAGGUUUGGCACCUCGAUGUCGGCUCGUCGCAUCCUGGGGCUGUAGUCGGUCCCAAGGGUUGGGCUGUUCGCCCAUUAAAGCGGCACGCGAGCUGGGUUCAGAACGUCGUGAGACAGUUCGGUCCCUAUCCGUCGCGGGCGCAGGAAAUUUGAGAGGAGCUGUCCUUAGUACGAGAGGACCGGGAUGGACACACCGCUGGUGUACCAGUUGUUCCGCCAGGAGCAUCGCUGGGUAGCUAUGUGUGGCAGGGAUAAACGCUGAAAGCAUCUAAGCGUGAAGCCCCCCUCAAGAUGAGAUUUCCCAUUUCUUCGGAAAGUAAGAUCCCUGAAAGAUGAUCAGGUAGAUAGGUUUGGAGUGGAAGUGUAGCGAUACAUGGAGCGGACAAAUACUAAUCGAUCGAGGACUUAACCAAAA
rnacentral:rRNA from 1 species